AAAUUAACUGGCCUGGACUCAGGUGCCAUGUGUCUGCAGGAUUCCAAGUUCAGAUAAGUGGCUUUGACUCUCAUUUUAGGGUUCUUAUACUCAAAUUUUGAGAAAAGUUUCUAAAUCAAAAUUGAAGCUCUAUCUCUUAUGUUUCCAGAACAGUUUGACUCAUCACAUUUGAGAUUUUCUAGUGAAAGUUGUGGUAUAAAUUCUGUGCUGGGGUCAGGUGGUAGUUCAGGCAAAUUUCAAGAUUUGGUGUACUAAUUUGUUCUAAUAAUUUGACUUAGUUUCCUUGGGUUCUGGAUUCUGGCCAAAACAUUAAUAUUAUAGAUCUAUGUCUUAUAAAACUUUUGGCA
rnacentral:misc_RNA from 1 species